GGGUGCGAUCAUACCAGCACUAAUGCACCGGAUCCCAUCAGAACUCCGAAGUUAAGCGUGCUUGGGCGAGAGUAGUACUAGGAUGGGUGACCCCCUGGGAAGUCCUCAUGUUGCACCCC
rnacentral:rRNA from 1 species